UCUUAAACGUCUAUUUAUACCAGUCCACACGAGUCUUUUUUGAGCGAUUGUCAAAUUUUGCGGGAUUCAAUGAGAAGAUACCUUUCUUACGGCCAGGUGUUCUUGCACUAUCGAAUGGAUGCUGGUGGAAAAAAUUCCCACGAAUGCAUGUCUCACGGCAUGUCACAGAUGUCAUUAAAGAAAUCCCUAUGUAUUCUUAUGUAUAUAAAUUUAAGUAUUACCCAAUGUCAACGCUAUUGAUGUCUGUACUUAUUGGGGAUUUCGGGAUUUAAAAACGUGCAGCUUAAGAUGUUGGUAAAAGUUUUAACUUGCAAAUAUACCACCAAUUUUUUUUUAAUUUGUUUUUUUUUUUUCAGUUUUAUGUUUUGCUAAGUCUAAAUCUUUGAAUUUUUGACAAGCUGCUGAUUUAUAAAACAAAAAACUUUAAUUUGUUCCGCUGCAUGGCAUGUGUUAUAUGUAUGUAUGGUGAGGUAUGUGAUUCGUUUAAUUAAAAUUCAUUAUAAUACAGAGCCUCCCUUUUCAAAAACAGAAAUGCACAAUUCCUUCAAAGUGCCAUACUAAUUUUAAAUUACAAGCUAAUUUUGUUAUUCAUCAUCACAAAUAAUUAAAAAACUUAAAAAAUUAAAAAAAAAAUUGAUUGAAACAAAGAAAGUGUAUGAUAAUUUUAAUCCAGGUGGAAAAUUAAUGAUAACUAAAAUACUGAAGACAAGAUAUCAAUGCUAAAAUGCGAUUAAAUCGAAAUUUAAUUUUCUUAAUGCCUUCUCCAAAUUUAUGCAACAACACAAAGCAUUUCAUUCUAAACUCCCCCUUAGCCAAAUUGCUAAGUGUAUGUGGUUUUUUAUUGUCCCAUUCAUCAUCAAUGUCAAUGUCAAUCAAUAAAGUUACACUUGCUACAAAGGAAUAACCCGGUAUAAAUGGUUUCAAAAUGGUAACUUUGUUGUAAUUUAAUUUACCGAAUUAAGUUUAUACAAGAUAAUCAAUUGUGAAUGCUAAGAUGCGAUUACAUUUUGAAACGAUUUCUCUAAUGAAAUUGAAAUCACAAAGUUGAACCUUUAAGCUUACUGCAAUAGAUUUCUUGCAUUACUACUCAGGUUUAUUUAGCCUGUUCAAGAGUUAGCUCUGCUGACUCUUUGUUAUUCUUGCAUCAGAGGGAAAAUUCCAAUUAAUUGUUUAUAGGGGUCUUACAGAGAUUAUUAAAUAAAAUAUGUUUAAUGAAAAGACACAAAAAACAUCAAAAAGCAAAGAUCAUCCAAAGAAGAUCACUGAGGUGCUUUUCUUUUUUUGUGUAUGUCAGUCCUGUGCUUGAUUUUUGAUUAAAAAAAAACAAUCGUGCUCUUAAGUCCUUAACAAAGUCCUUAAUAUUUAACUGUCCAAAAAAGUUAAAGAACAUAAUCUUGUCAAAAAAGCAAGUUAGUUUUCUCGACUUACUUUAUCUUAACGAUAAGCAAUGACAAAGUGCUAUCGAUCACAAAAUUGAGCUUUCUUUGUUUAUUGCGGCUGUUAGGUUAUGCUUAUGUUGAUUAAAAAAUUUCAGCUUAGUAGGAUUUGUAAAAUCUGCUGUCAUUUCAUAGAGUCGAAAAUUAUUUAGCAGAGCGCCUGUCAAAGUUAGUUCUCACAUUGACGACCGAGAAAACUAAAUUUCGUUAUCUGGGACUGAAAAAACUUAAAAAAAUCGUCCAUAUGAACGCUGAUAUAUCCGAAAAUAUAAAAGGUGGAGAGUUGUGAUUUCUGGAUUAAGUUUCUUAGCUUCGAACGCAGCGCAUGUUUAUUACGCUAAUGUGUCACGCUCACUCUAACGCCCACAAGCCGCCCGAAACCGGCUCCUACAGUUUUAGUGCUAGAAACAAAAAUUUUCACUGAUAUAUACACACCUGAUCAUAUUAAUAGGUACACAUUGGAAUUUUUUAAUUAUAAAUUGUUUUUUGGUACUUUUAGUGUUGACAACUUUUUAAUUUUUGGUUUUUUGUUGUUGUCAAUGUCUGGCCAAACUGUGACAAAGAGUUGAAAGAGGGAACGCCCCGUAUAUCAAAGCUUUUCUAUUAAUUGCGAGUCCACCACACAUUUCGCCUGAUCAUAAUAAUAGGUACAGUCUCCGUUUCUCACAAGUAUCGAGUGAAUUAUUUUGUAAUCAGUGAUCAUUUGGUAACUAAAGAAAAAAUGGGUCGAAAUUCUCAUUGUACUAAAGAAGAAGCUCGAUUGGUUCUUAGUCUGAAAAAAGAAGGCAAAUCUUUACGAACCAUCACCAAACUAAUGAACAGGUCUAAUAAUUUUGUUAAAAAUGCAUUAGAAAGAAAACCAAGACAGGAAACCCGUGGAAGGCCACUAAAAUCAACAAAAACCCUUACCACUACAUAGUAACUUUGAGCAAAAAGGACCCAUUUAAGUCAUCGAAGGCUAUUGCAGCCGAAAUUGGGAAUUCAGUUAGUGCUCCAACUAUCCGAAGACGACUACAAGAUGCCAACCUACCAGGAAGAAUUUCCAGAAAAGUCCCACUUAUGCGCAAAAAAAUAUCACCAUGAGGCAAACUUUUGCAAGGGACCACAAAGACUGGGUAGGAUGCACCGGGGAGAAAAAACGGAGAAACAUAUUAUGGAGCGAUGGAACCAAGAUUAAUUUGUUUGGAAAUGACUGAAAGGAAUGUUCGACGCCCCAACGGAAAGGAAUUCCAUCCACGGUUUACAAAAAAAAAACAGUCAAACAUGGAGGUGGCAAUAUAAUGGUAUGGGGUUGCUUCUCCUGGUAUGGCGUAGGUCCAAUUUAUCAGACUACGAACAAAAUGAAUGCUGAAGAGUACAAAUCCAUAUUGGAAACAGUUAUGGUACCGUAUGCUGAGGAAAAUAUGCCAUUACGUUGGGUAUUUCAGCAAGAUAAUGAUCCAAAACACACAUCAAGGCUGUUAUCUACAUUUUUCGAGGACCAAAAAGUUGACGUUCUGAAGUGGCCAAGACAACCCUCCGACCUUAACACCCUUAAAAACUUGUUGGGAGGCUUAAAAAAAAAAUUGGCGAAGCAUUCAUUUUCAAAUAAACAAAAAUUAUCAGAAGGUGUCCAAAAACUGUGGUAUGAGACACCAGUAGAGACCUGCCAGGCUCUUAUUAAAAGUAUGCCAAAAAGAAUAGCAGUAGUGGCCAAAAAUAGAGGUGGAUACACUGGAUACUAAGUAAGGAAAUACUAAUUUACCUAAAAAAAUAAUACAAAAUGGAAAUUAAUAUUUUUUUUCUUACCAACACAUGAAGUGUACCUAUUAUUAUGAUCACACUGAAAACGUAUCUGAAACACAAAAAGAAUCUCUUUUAUGUUAUAUUAUUAUCCUAUGUUACAGAUAAGUUUAUUUUAUUAAAAACAAAUAGUUUAAGAACCAAUGAGAACAAAUAUUAAGUUUGAAACAAUGAAUAAAUCUUUAUUUUGUUACCUUUAAGUCAGAGUUGAUGUGUGUACCUAUUAAUAUGAUCAGGUGUGUAUAUGGAUUUUAUCAAUACCUAUCGAUCGACCUAAAAAAAAUAUUGCCUCGCCCAUAAACCGCCCAAAAACUGGCGCUCACAAUAUUAAUGCUAUAAUACAAAUUUAACUGAAAUGUAUGGGACUUGUCAAUUCCUAUCGGUCCAAUAAAAUAUUCCUGAAAAGUAA